UACGGAGGGGACUAGCGUUGUUCGGAAUUACUGGGCGUAAAGCGCACGUAGACGGAUUUGUAAGUCAGGGGGUGAAAUCCCGGGGCUCAACCUCGGAACUGCCUUUGAUACUGCAAAUCUCGAGUCCGGAAGAGGUGAGUGGAAUUCCUAGUGUAGAGGUGAAAUUCGUAGAUAUUAGGAAGAACACCAGUGGCGAAGGCGGCUCACUGGUCCGGUACUGACGCUGAGGUGCGAAAGCGUGGGGAGCAAACAGG
rnacentral:rRNA from 1 species